rnacentral:rRNA from 1 species
CUUGCUUUCUUUGCUGGCGACCGGCGCACGGGUGAGUAACACGUAUCCAACCUGCCCUUUACUCGGGGAUAGCCUUUCGAAAGAAAGAUUAAUACCCGAUGGCAUAAUGAUUCCGCAUGGUUUCAUUAUUAAAGGAUUCCGGUAAAGGAUGGGGAUGCGUUCCAUUAGGCAGUUGGUGGGGUAACGGCCCACCAAACCUUCGAUGGAUAGGGGUUCUGAGAGGAAGGUCCCCCACAUUGGAACUGAGACACGGUCCAAACUCCUACGGGAGGCAGCAUG